rnacentral:rRNA from 1 species
GACGAACGCUGGCGGCGUGCCUAAUACAUGCAAGUAGAACGCACAGUUUAUACCGUAGCUUGCUACACCAUAGACUGUGAGUUGCGAACGGGUGAGUAACGCGUAGGUAACCUGCCUGGUAGCGGGGGAUAACUAUUGGAAACGAUGGCUAAUACCGCAUAAUAUUAAUUAUUGCAUGAUAAUUAAUUGAAAGGUGCAAUUGCACCACUACCAGAUGGACCUGCGUUGUAUUAGCUAGUAGGUGAGGUAACGGCUCACCUAGGCGACGAUACAUAGCCGACCUGAGAGGGUGAUCGGCCACACUGGGACUGAGACACGGCCCAGACUCCUACGGGAGGCAGCAGUAGGGAAUCUUCGGCAAUGGACGAAAGUCUGACCGAGCAACGCCGCGUGAGUGAAGAAGGGUUUCGGAUCGUAAAGCUCUGUUGUAAGAGAAGAACGGGUGUGAGAGUGGAAAGUUCACACUGUGACGGUAUCUUACCAGAAAGGGACGGCUAACUACGUG